CAUCCGUUUUCUUCACCCAUCCCCCUGUUGCUGGGCACCCAGGCUGGCUCCGUAACUUAGCCACUGUGAGCAGAGCUGCAGAGACCAGUGAUGCACAGCUGUCUCCGCGAUAUGCUGACUCAGACCCUGGGGUAAAUAUCCCGAUAUCGCUGGGUCACGUGACGACCUCUGACAAACCAUUACCUCCCUUACUCAUGAUAAUCCUGCAAGAGGACCUUGUCGUUUCUGCUUCACGGAUGCAGACUCCACGGCUCAAGGGGGUAAAGUACCGCGUCACUGAUGAGAGACCGAGCUGCUUUGUAAGUCGAGCUGUUGGUUCCCAGAGAUCACACCUGAACUGGAUCCUGGAGGAUGCCCUCGAAGGAGGAAAACAUGGUCACGGGUCUCAUUUAUCCGUGUGACAUCAUCAGUCCCAGCAACAGGCAGGGGAUGGAGAACAGGGGUGUAGUUGGUUUUUCACUCCUUGAGGGCAUGCCACCUCACUCCCAAAUAAAUACAGACUCAGUCUUACUUUUGAA